rnacentral:lncRNA from 1 species
CCAACUCUGAGAAGGUGAGCUACCACGCUGGUGAGGCCAAGGGCCAAGCUCAGGUAAUUUUCUUCACCUAUUAUUCUCCAUUUGUUCCUGCAUUUUUUGUUGUUGAAUAUUACAUAAUUUAUGCUGAAUGUGCAUUGAGAUUGAUGUAAUUUUUCAUUUAACAGGAGAAGGCGAGUGGGGUGAUGGAUAUGGCAAACAAUGCAGCCCAAUCUGCCAAGGAAACAAUGCAAGCGGCAGGCCAGAAUGUGCAGGCCACGGCUAUAGGAGCUGCUGAUGCAGUCAAGAAUGCCACUGGCAUGAACAAAAAAUGAAGCUAGCUGCUCAUCAUGAUCUCAAUAUGAGCAUUUGCAGUUUUUUUUUCUUUUUUUUGGGAGCUUUCUAGUAGUUGCUUUUGAUUUCUGUCUUCUAAACAAGGGAGCUCUAAGUCCUCUGGAGUUCUCAUCAUCUGGGUGUGUACUUUCGUUCACACUUGGUUUUAGUUUUUGUUUUCUUUUUCUUUUUGUUCAUGUUUAUCUCCUUUGAACAAGGAAAGUGGGCUCUGCCUAUUGUAGUUCUCACCUAAUUGAAUCAUAUGCUGUUUUUAAUCCCAUCUAUAUGUUCAAGAUUGGUCCUUUGUUUAUGCAGAUGAGCAAAAUCCGACCUAAGAGUUUCUGAAAAUAAAAAACAUAAAAAAAAGAAGAUAUAAAUUAAUUAAGCAAGUGCGACAACUCAUAAUUAAGAGAAGCUACUUUUGCAUCUGAUAGAAUUUUAUUGAUAAUGCGGGAUGAAAAUAAGUAAAAAAAUUAAGCUAUGUCUAAAUAAUUAGGUGAGCAUCUCUACACAUAAUGACGUAGUGGUCGUCGAACUAUCUAGAUAGUCUAUCUUCUCAACCUUCUCUCGUCGGACUACCUAUAGAUAGCCUCUCGUCGGACUACCUAGGUAGCCUACCUUCUCAACCUUCUCAACUACAAACGAAAAAAAUAAAAACCUUGCCACCGUUAGAGCGGCCCCAUCUCUCUAAGAUUAGCUACUUAACUAUAGAACAAUAUCGUGACUAUGUAGCUAAGUAGCUUUCCCACAUCAAAGAAAUUUCUGUGACCUUCUUCCGUGAAAUUAAAGUACCAUAAUUUGUUGAAAAUUAAAGCACUUUUGUCGAGAAAUAUCUAGAAAAAUCUAGAUAAGAUCACCGACCAAGCUAAAGUCUACAUAUGCCAGAACUGUCAUAUGAAAUAUCCAAUAUGGUACUAUUAGAUUGAUAAUACGAUAAAAACUAGUGGAGACCACAAAGUUGUGGUUAGGAAUGUAGCAGCAGCUCGGCUGAAAAUGUGUGGUUAGGAACAAAACAAGCCCAAGUGGGUGGAGCUUCAGCAUGUCGGCUGCUGUCAUCUGUAAAUGAAUUUGGUAUGUUUAUUUUAAAAUAAAUUAAUCCAUAAUUACAUUAAAUUACCUUUAUUAGUGGGAGUUAAAUUUCCAUUAAUAUGACUCAACUGCUUUAUGCUUGUGUCCAUUAACGUCUUUCUUGGUGGUAUACUAUGUGUAUAUGUUAGUUAUAGCUUGAAAAAGAAAAAGAGAGAAGCCACAGCCUUCUUCCUCUUAUGAUAAAAUUUGGGUUACUAACAAUACAUUUACAUUAAUUACUCUCUCUUGUAGAAAUGUGAUAUUAAUUUAUUGAUUGCAAUCAUUAAUAAAAUUUAGAGGAUUGACGGUAAUGACAAUAUGUAUAAAUGUUUUAAAAACAGUGGCCAAGGUUUUGUGUACUUGGUAGGCUUGUUAAGUUGCUGGACCCAAUUCUACAUCAAAAGAGAGGUGGAGUGCAUUUAUAGUGCAAACUCAAAAUUGGACCUAUAUCAAAAGACUCAUUCUUUUAAUUUAUGUAUUGAGAUUUCUAAGCAACAUAGUUAGAAAGGUGUUUGUUACCUUUUCUAAACUGCUUGCAUAAAUUGGGCGUAGAGCCGCGAAACGUCUGAAAGAGAACGACUUCGUACGUGACUCAUCCCAAGAAUCGUUCCAAACUACAUACUAAAUUUUUCGUGUAAUAUUGUUCUCUUAUUUUAAUUUGUUCAUCAACAAUUUAAAGACCUUUUCAUCUGCCAUUGAUGUGAAUAAUAAGGCUUAUAGAUUCUAUGACCAAAAGAACCAUGUUGUACUUGAAUCUAAAUGAUGUUUAAAAAAAAAGAAGAUAAAUUCUCAUAUAAAUUGAGAAAUUGUGGGGACUCAAGUUCUAGUAAUACAUCUUUCCCAUAAAUCAUGAACCUAGAUGUAUAGAACAUUUUUAACCAACUUAGAACCAAGGAAGAGUAAGAAAACGAAUUGCCAAGGAUUUUGGACCUAAUUUUCAUGUUCAUACCUUAGAGCAAGGAUUUUGGACCUAACUUUCACACUUGGUUUUUGUUUUUGUUCAUGUUAUCUCCUUUGAACAAGGAAAGUGGGCUCUGCCUAUUGUAGUUCUCACCUAAUUGAAGCAUAAUCUUUUUUCAUGUGCUGGUGUUAGAAUUAUCUUCAUCCUUUACUUCGAUUUAAUCCCAUCUAUAUAUUCAACUAGACAACGAUAGAAUCGUGACUGAAAAACUGCCGCUGAUGCCUUGCAAGAGACGAUGGUCACGUAUACGACGAUUAUGUGUCACAUAAGAGGACUGCACUGUGUCUAGAAAAAUCUAGAUAAGAUACCGACCAAGCUAAAGUCUACAUAUGCCAGAACAGUCAUAUAAAGUAUCUCGGCUGAAAAUAUGUGGUUAGGAACAAACAAGCCCAAGUGGGUGGAGCUUGGGCAUGUCGGCUGCUGUCAUUUGUAAAUGAAUUUGGUAUGUUUAUUUUAAAAUAAAUUAAUCAAUAAUUACAUUAAAUUACCUUUAUUAGUGGGAGUUAAAUUUCCAUUAAUAUGACUCAACUGCUUUAUGCUGGUUUUAAGUCUAUUAACGUCUUUCUUGGUGGUAUAUUAUGUAUAUAUAUAUUAUUAGCUAUAGCUUGAAAAAGAAAAGAGAUAGAAAAGCCACAGCCUUCUUCCUCUUCAUCCCUAUGAAUUCUCUCCUUCUUUUACUUUAUGUAUUGAGAUUUCUAAGCAACAUAGUCAAAAAGGUAUUUGUUAUCUUUUCUAAACUAUUUACACAAAUUGGCGCAAAGUCGUGAAACGUCUUAAAGAGAUCGACGUAAUACGCAACUCAUCCUAAGAAUCGUUCCAAGCUCCAUAUUGUAUUUUUCGUAUAAUAUUGUUCUCUUAUUUUAAUUUGUGCAUCAACAAUUUUAAGAGGUUUUUAUUUGCCAUGGAUGUUAAUAAUAAGGCUUAUAGAUUCUCUGACUUAAAGAACCAUGUUGUAAUUGAAUCUAAUGAUACUGUUUAAAAAAAGAAGAAGAUAAAUUCUCAUUUAAAUUAAGAAAUUGUGGGGACUCAAGUUCUAGUAAUACAUCUUUCCCAUAAAUAAUGAACCUAGAGGUAUAGAACAUUUUUAACCAACUUGGAACCAAGGAAGACUAAGAAAGAACGAAUUAAUUGCCAAGGAUUUGGACCUAAUUUUCAUGUUUAUACCUUAGAGUAGGAUCCCACCACUCUCCAAUCACAUAUAUAUAUAUACAUAUAUAUAUUUUAUAUUCAGAUUUAUUUCGUUAAUUUUUUUUAAUCUUUCAUAUUAUUUACUUAUGGUUUUACAAGAUUUUAUUGUUUUGUAGUUUCGCUAAUAUGCUGCUCCGGUGCUUCCAUUACAAUUUUUUUUUAGAGAACUUCUCCAUCACAUCUGUAAAUGUACAAUCAUACAAUAUUUCAGUGAGUUUUAAUUAGCAUGUGCCUUCUUUAUGUUGUCGGCCACCUAUAUUGGAUACACAUUCAUAUAGAAAAAGUCACCUAUAUUGUCUAAUUUACUGUCAGCUCUGCAUCACUCAAUAAAAAUUAUGUGCAGGUGGGAUCUCUGAGAUCUGGUAUUUAUCAAGAGUUAGAUUCAAUUAUACAAAAGAUCAUUUCUAUUACUCUCUUUUCCAUCAAUAUUUUCUCAACCCAAAAAUUCCAACCAUCACUAGUAAUGUAUGAAUAUGUCAACAUUAAUCAAAUAAUUAAUAACACGUAAACAUCCAAUAUCAAAAACAUUAUAAUAUCAAGCUAUAAUAUAAUAUUCACGAAAUUUAAUUCAAUCAAUUCUUGUAAAGGCCCUAAAAAAUCCAUACCUCAAUUCCAAAGCUAGCUCAAAAUUUAAGAAAACACAAACUAGGCCUAUAUCUCCUCCAAGAAUUUGAUCAUCUCUCUCUUUCUCUCUUUUACUUCCUCUCUCAUUUCUUUUUUGUUUCUUACUCUUAUUUCAAUUCUAGAAGGCCCUAUUUAUACUAGCAUAAGUCGGCAACAACAAAGAUCUCAUUGGAUAAUUGUUUGGCAGCUAAGAAAUGAGAUAUGCAUGGAAGCUAUCUUUAUAUAAUAUAAACUAAUAUUAAUCCUAU